AACGAACGCUGGCGGCAUGCCUAACACAUGCAAGUCGAACGAGAUCUUCGGGUCUAGUGGCGCACGGGUGCGUAACGCGUGGGGAUCUGCCCUUUGGUUCGGAAUAACAGUUGGAAACGACUGCUAAUACCGGAUGAUGACGAAAGUCCAAAGAUUUAUCGCCAGAGGAUGAGCCCGCGUAGGAUUAGCUAGUUGGUGUGGUAAAGGCGCACCGAGGCGACGAUCCUUAGCUGGUCUGAGAGGAUGAUCAGCCACACUGGGACUGAGACACGGCCCAGACUCCUACGGGAGGCAGCAGUGGGGAAUAUUGGACAAUGGGCGAAAGCCUGAUCCAGCAAUGCCGCGUGAGUGAUGAAGGCCUUAGGGUUGUAAAGCUCUUUUACCCGGGAUGAUAAUGACAGUACCGGGAGAAUAAGCUCCGGCUAACUCCGUGCCAGCCGCCGCGGUAA
rnacentral:rRNA from 1 species